UAUGUGCUUCAGAUGCCAGAAGGUAGUAAAGAUAGUCAGCUGGGACUAAAACACAGCCAGAGCAGGCCUGCAGUGUUGAAAUAAAUGCUGCAAAAGAUAGUUAAAUAUAAUCAUCAUUUUUCACAAACUAGAACUUUAGAUAUGGAACUUAGGGAGCAUGUCAAAAAUAACAUCUAGACAGCUCAACAAAGAAGAAAAGUUAUCUUCCUUGAGACUUGAACUGAAACUUUGACAGCUUGAAGCUUUGUAAGCUCUGCUUUGCUGCUUGAACAACCGAGCCUGGGAGCCACUCAAGCUUCUGCUCCAUGGCAGUCAGCCAGUGGUGAGAACUGUUUAGUUUUGGUCUUAGAACAACUGCUCACCAAAUCUGCUGCCUUUCACACAACAGACUCUCCUCUCUUAGGAAAUGUGACAUUGUUAUGGGCAAACACCAGCGCUCUCCUUUGGAGGAGGUCGAGCUGCCUCUCUCUCUGCUUGCUAACAUCACAGAAUUAGAGUUGCUCAGAUUCAAUCAAAUCAUCUUACAUUUUCUUCUUGUCUGUCUGUGGUGAACUAUGGAAGACCAGUGGGAAGAAUGAGUUCUAAUUGGCCUCCUCGGCGAGCACUGCGAAGACAGAGGGCAAGCAAGCUGCUAACACGCUGCAGGGAGAGGUCACAGCACCCGAGGUGGAGUUGUUCCACCGGAGAAGCGCCAUGGAGCGCGGGAGACAGGUGGAUCCUGUGGAACCCUGAUUGCUUGUGCCGUGUCUGAGGGAAUGAAGCUGAGGUGCGCCAGUUACUCAAGGCUAUAUGUGGAAGGGAG
rnacentral:lncRNA from 1 species